UACGUAGGCAGCAAGCGUUGUUCGGAGUUACUGGGCGUUAAAUGGGUGCGUAGGCGGCUUUUAAGUUUGGUAGUGAAUCUACCGGCGUCAACUGGAAGGUGGCGCCAAUACUGAGAGGCUAGAGUGCGGGAGAGGAAAGUGGAAUUCCUGGUGUAGCGGUGAAUGCGUAGAUAAUCAGGAGGAACACCGGUGUGUAACGGACUUCUGGACCGUAACUCGACGCUGAGGCACGAAGCGUGGUAGCAACAGG
rnacentral:rRNA from 1 species